UACGGGGGGGGCAAGCGUUGUUCGGAAUUACUGGGCGUAAAGGGCUCGUAGGCGGCCCACUAAGUCAGACGUGAAAUCCCUCGGCUUAACCGGGGAACUGCGUCUGAUACUGGAGGGCUCGAGUUUGGGAGAGGGAUGCGGAAUUCCAGGUGUAGCGGUGAAAUGCGUAGAUAUCUGGAGGAACACCGGUGGCGAAGGCGGCAUCCUGGACCAACACUGACGCUGAGGAGCGAAAGCCAGGGGAGCAAACGGG
rnacentral:rRNA from 1 species